GCCGGGCAGGGUGGCGCGUGCCUAUAGUCCCAGCUAUUCGGGAGGCUGAGGGGGGAGGAUUGCUUGAGCCCAGGAGUUCUGGGCUGUAGUGAGCUAUGCCGAUCGGGUGUCCGCGCUAAGUUCGGCAUCAAUACGGUGAGCUCCCGGGAGCGGGGGACCACCAGAUUGCCUAAGGAGGGGUGAACCAGCCGAGGUCGGAAAUGGAGCAGGUCAAAACUCCCAUGCUGAUCAGUAGUGGGAUGGCACCUGUGAAUAGCCACUGCACUCCAGCCUGGGCAACAUAGCAAGACCCCGUCUCA
rnacentral:SRP_RNA from 1 species